CUUGUGGCCACAUCAUGUUGAAACACCAGCUCCCAUACAAUCACCAAAGUUAAGCAACGUUGAGCCUGGUCAGUACAUAGAUAGACGACUACUUGGGAAUAUCAGGUGCUAUA